rnacentral:rRNA from 1 species
UGUAGUCAUAUGCUUGUCUCAAAGAUUAAGCCAUGCAUGUCUAAGUAUAAACGACUUUGUACUGUGAAACUGCGAAUGGCUCAUUAAAUCAGUUAUAGUUCAUUUGAUAGUACUUUACUACUUGGAUAACCGUGGUAAUUCUAGAGCUAAUACAUGCUAAAAAUCCCGACUUCUGGAAGGGAUGUAUUUAUUAGAUAAAAAACCAAUCGGGGCAACCUGUUCUUUGGUGAUUCAUGAUAACUUUUCGAAUCGCAUGUCUUUGACGGCGAUGGUUCAUUCAAAUUUCUGCCCUAUCAAGUUUCGAUGGUAGGAUAGAGGCCUACCAUGCUUUCAACGGGUAACGGGGAAUGACGAAAGGGCCUCGU